UAAAGCACUUUUAUGGGGGAAGAUGAUGACGGUACCCCAUGAAUAAGCACCGGCUAACUACGUGCCAGCAGCCGCGGUAAUACGUAGGGUGCGAGCGUUGUUCGGAAUUACUGGGCGUAAAGGGCGUGCAGGCGGAUUGGCAAGCCGGAGGUGAAAGCCCGGGGCUCAACCCCGGAGGGUCUUUCGGAACUGCCAGUCUUGAGAGGGUCAGGGGCCAGCGGAAUUCCUGGUGUAGAGGUGAAAUUCGUAGAGAUCAGGAGGAACACCGGCGGCGAAAGCGGCUGGCUGGGGCCACUCUGACGCUGAGGCGCGAAAGCGUGGGGAGCAAACAGGAUUAGAUACCCUGGUAGUCCACGCCGUAAACGAUGGGCACUAAGCGUCCGACGGGUUCGACCCUGUUGGGUGCUGCAGUUAACGCGUUAAGUGCCCCGCCUGGGGAGUACGGUCGCAAGACUA
rnacentral:rRNA from 1 species